GUCCUUUUGUAAAUAAUUUAAGGUCUAGCCUGCCCACUGAAAUUUUAAAUGGCCGUGGUAUUUUGACCGUGCUAAGGUAGCAUAAUCAUUAGUUUUUUAAUUAAAAACUGGAAUGAAAGGUUGGAUAAGAAAAUAGCUGUCUCUGUUAAAUUUAAUUAGAAUUUUAUUUUUAAGUUAAAAAGCUUAAUUAUUAUUAAAAGACGAGAAGACCCUAUAGAGUUUAAUUAUUUAAUAAAAAUAAUAUUUUAGUAUUUAUUUAUUUAUUUUAUUUAAUAAUUUAAUUGGGGUGAUUGAAAAAUUUAAUUAACUUUUUUUAUUUAAAAACAUUAAUUUAUGAAUAAAUGAUCCAAUAUUUUUGAUUAUAAGAUAUAAUUACCUUAGGGAUAACAGCGUAAUUUUUUUAGAAAGUUCAUAUUAAAAAAAAAGAUUGCGACCUCGAUGUUGGAUUAAAAUAAAUUUUUGGUGUAGAAGCUAAAAUAUUAGGUCUGUUCGACCUUUAAAAUUUUACAUGAUCU
rnacentral:rRNA from 1 species